rnacentral:rRNA from 1 species
UACGAAGGGGGCUAGCGUUGCUCGGAUUGACUGGGCGUAAAGGGCGCGUAGGCGGUCACCACAAGUCAGUUGUGAAAUCUCCGGGCUUAACUCGGAAAGGUCAACUGAUACUGUGCGACUAGAGUGCAGAAGGGGCAACUGGAAUUCUCGGUGUAGCGGUGAAAUGCGUAGAUAUCGAGAGGAACACCUGCGGCGAAGGCGGGUUGCUGGGCUGACACUGACGCUGAUGCGCGAAAGCCAGGGGAGCGAACAGG